CCUACGGGGGGCAGCAGUGAGGAAUAUUGGUCAAUGGUCGGGAGACUGAACCAGCCAAGCCGCGUGAGGGAGGAAGGUACAGAGUAUCGUAAACCUCUUUUGUCAGGGAACAAAGGCGGGGACGUGUCCCCGGAUGAGUGUACCUGAAGAAAAAGCAUCGGCUAACUCCGUGCCAGCAGCCGCGGUAAUACGGGGGAUGCGAGCGUUAUCCGGAUUUAUGGGGUUUAAGGGGUGCGCAGGCGGUCUGUUAAGUCAGCGGUCAAAGCCCGGGGCUCAACCCCGGCCCGCCGUUGAAACUGGCAGUCUCGAGUUGGAGAGAAGUAUGCGGAAUGCGCGGUGUAGCGGUGAAAUGCAUAGAUAUCGCGCAGAACUCCGAUUGCGAAGGCAGCAUGCCGGCUCCGCACUGACGCUGAGGCACGAAAGCGUGGGUAUCGAACAGGAUUAGAUACCCGAGUAGUC
rnacentral:rRNA from 1 species